rnacentral:rRNA from 1 species
AGCGGGAAGUAGUUUACUACUUUGCCGGCGAGCGGCGGACGGGUGAGUAAUGUCUGGGAAACUGCCUGAUGGAGGGGGAUAACUACUGGAAACGGUAGCUAAUACCGCAUAACGUCUUCGGACCAAAGUGGGGGACCUUCGGGCCUCACGCCAUCGGAUGUGCCCAGAUGGGAUUAGCUAGUAGGUGGGGUAAUGGCUCACCUAGGCGACGAUCCCUAGCUGGUCCGAGAGGAUGACCAGCCACACUGGAACUGAGACACGGUCCAGACUCCUACGGGAGGCAGCAGUGGGGAAUAUUGCACAAUGGGCGCAAGCCUGAUGCAGCCAUGCCGCGUGUGUGAAGAAGGCCUUCGGGUUGUAAAGCACUUUCAGCGAGGAGGAAGGCCAAUAACUUAAUACGUUGUUGGAUUGACGUUACUCGCAGAAGAAGCACCGGCUAACUCCGUGCCAGCAGCCGCGGUAAUACGGAGGGUGCAAGCGUUAAUCGGAAUUACUGGGCGUAAAGCGCACGCAGGCGGUUUGUUAAGUCAGAUGUGAAAUCCCCGCGCUUAACGUGGGAACUGCAUUUGAAACUGGCAAGCUAGAGUCUUGUAGAGGGGGGUAGAAUUCCAGGUGUAGCGGUGAAAUGCGUAGAGAUCUGGAGGAAUACCGGUGGCGAAGGCGGCCCCCUGGACAAAGACUGACGCUCAGGUGCGAAAGCGUGGGGAGCAAACA